rnacentral:rRNA from 1 species
AUUGAACGCUGGCGGCAGGCCUAACACAUGCAAGUCGAACGAGCGGCGGACGGGUGAGUAAUGUCUGGGAAACUGCCUGAUGGAGGGGGAUAACUACUGGAAACGGUAGCUAAUACCGCAUACCAUCAGCUUUACCCAGAUGGGCUUAGCUUGUUGGUGGGGUAAUGGCUCACCUAGGCGACGAUCCCUAGCUGGUCUGAUAGGAUGACCAGCCACACUGGAACUGAGACACGGACCAGACUCCUACGUGAGGCAGCAGUGGGGAAUAUUGCACAAUGGGCGCAAGCCUGAUGCAGCCAUGCCGCGUGUAUGAAGAAGGCCUUCGGGUUGUAAAGUACUUUCAGCGGGGAGGCGUUACUCGCAGAAGAAGCACCGGCUAACUCCGUGCCAGCAGCCGCGGUAAUAC